GACGAACGCUGGCGGCGUGCUUAACACAUGCAAGUCGAACGGAAAGGCCCUGCUUUUGUGGGGUGCUCGAGUGGCGAACGGGUGAGUAACACGUGAGUAACCUGCCCUUGACUUUGGGAUAACUUCAGGAAACUGGGGCUAAUACCGGAUAGGAGCUCCUGCUGCAUGGUGGGGGUUGGAAAGUUUCGGCGGUUGGGGAUGGACUCGCGGCUUAUCAGCUUGUUGGUGGGGUAGUGGCUUACCAAGGCUUUGACGGGUAGCCGGCCUGAGAGGGUGACCGGCCACAUUGGGACUGAGAUACGGCCCAGACUCCUACGGGAGGCAGCAGUGGGGAAUAUUGCACAAUGGGCGGAAGCCUGAUGCAGCAGCGCCGCGUGCGGGAUGACGGCCUUCGGGUUGUAAACCGCUUUAGCCUGUGACGAAGCGUGAGUGACGGUAAUGGGUAAAGAAGCACCGGCUAACUACGUG
rnacentral:rRNA from 1 species